CCAGAACGCCAAGAUCACACCCUGAGCCGAAGCCAGAUGCUCAACGACUGCGCCACCCAGGUGGAAUGUGGAUGGUUGAGCUGCUCCAUGCUGCCAAGGGAACAUGGAGACCAAAUCCUCUACCCACCAGCUUUCAACUCCAGACUUCAGGGUGGGAGUAGGAUUGGAAAUUGGUGUUUGAGGCAUUGUGAGAAGCAUGGGAGCACAUAAUGAAAAAGAUUCUUCAUCUGUUCUGGUGGAGCAUGCUGAUCCUUAAUCCUGGGCACAGUCAUCAAAACUCUAGCCUGCCACUCCUUCUAAUAUCGGAGAUUGGACUUGGUGGGCAUCAUCUGCAGCCCUUUCAAAACCCCACAGGUCUGGGACAUUUAUGCAACAAAUUUAUGAAGCACACAUUCUAAUGGAGGAAGAAAAACAAUAAUCAUCAUAAACAGAUGAAGUAUGUCAGGGAUUAUAAGACUUUAAGCAGAUUAUCCUCCAUGAUGUGGGUGACCUCUUCCAAUCAGUUGAAAGCCUGAAGAAUGAAGACUGCAGCUUUCUGAAGAAGGAAUUUUGCCUCAAGACUGCAGUAUAGAAAUCUUGCCUGAGUUUCCAGACUGCUAACCUGCACUGUGGAUUUGGGACUCAAGAAUGCAGCAUCAACUCUUAGCUGAAUUUCAUCUGCUAGCCUGCCCUACCAAUUUCAGACCUGCCGGCACCCAUAACUGCGUGAGCCUAUUCAUUCCUUCAAAUAAAUCUCUG